GAAGUACAUGAUUCCACGCUGCCAAGAAAAGCGUCUAGAGAGAGAAGUAGUGCCCGUACCGCAAACCGACACAGGUAGGUGAGGAGAGAAUCCUAAGGCCGGCGGAAGAAUUACAGUUAAGGAACUCGGCAAAUUGACCCCGUAAGUUCGCGAGAAGGGGUGCCUACGAGAGUAGGCCGCAGAGAAUAGGCCCAAGCAACUGUUUAGCAAAAACACAGGUCUCUGCUAAAGCGUAAGCUGAUGUAUAGGGGCUGACGCCUGCCCGGUGCUGGAAGGUUAAGGGGAACACUUAGCGCAAGCGAAGGUGUGAACUUAAGCCCCAGUAAACGGCGGCCGUAACUAUAACGGUCCUAAGGUAGCGAAAUUCCUUGUCAGGUAAGUUCUGACCCGCACGAAUGGCGUAAUGACUUGGGCACUGUCUCAACUGUAAAUCCGGCGAAGUUGUAGUGCGAGUGAAGAUGCUCGCUACCCGCGAUUGGACGGAAAGACCCCGUAGAGCUUUACUGUAGCUUAGCAUUGAGUUUUGGUAUUGUCUGUACAGGAUAGGUGGGAGACUAGGAAACCAGGGCGUCAGCCUUGGUGGAGUCAACCUUGGGAUACCACCCUGACAGUACUGAAAUUCUAACUGGCGGCCAUGAAUCUGGUCACAGGACAUUGUUAGGUGGGCAGUUUGACUGGGGCGGUCGCCUCCUAAAAAGUAACGGAGGCGCCCAAAGGUUCCCUCAGAACGGUCGGAAAUCGUUCGAAGAGUGCAAAGGCAGAAGGGAGCCUGACUGCGACACCCACAAGUGGAGCAGGGACGAAAGUCGGGCUUAGUGAUCCGGUGGUACCUCGUGGGAGGGCCAUCGCUCAACGGAUAAAAGCUACCUCGGGGAUAACAGGCUGAUCUCCCCCAAGAGUCCACAUCGACGGGGAGGUUUGGCACCUCGAUGUCGGCUCGUCGCAUCCUGGGGCUGAAGUAGGUCCCAAGGGUUGGGCUGUUCGCCCAUUAAAGCGGCACGCGAGCUGGGUUCAGAACGUCGUGAGACAGUUCGGUCCCUAUCCGUCGCGGGCGUAGGAAAUUUGAGAGGAGCUGUCCUUAGUACGAGAGGACCGGGAUGGACUGACCUCUGGUGUACCAGUUGUUCCGCCAGGAGCACAGCUGGGUAGCUAAGUCGGGAAUGGAUAAACGCUGAAAGCAUCUAAGCGUGAAGCCAACCUCAAGAUGAGAUUUCCCAUAGCGUAAGCUAGUAAGAUCCCUUGAAGAACACAAGGUUGAUAGGUCGGGGGUGUAAGCAUGGUAACAUGUUCAGCUGACCGAUACUAAUAGAUCGAGGGCUUGACCAAAU
rnacentral:rRNA from 1 species